rnacentral:rRNA from 1 species
AUUGAACGCUGGCGGCAGGCUUAACACAUGCAAGUCGAGCGGGUGAAGGUAGCUUGCUACCGGACCUAGCGGCGGACGGGUGAGUAAUGCUUAGGAAUCUGCCUAUUAGUGGGGGACAACAUCUCGAAAGAGAUGCUAAUACCGCAUACGUACUACGGGAGAAAGCAGGGGAUCUUCGGACCUGGAGCUAAUAGAUGAGCCUCAGAAAGAUUAGCUAGUUGGUGGGGUAAAGGCCUACCAAGGCGCCGAUCUGUAGCGGGUCUGAGAGGAUGAUCCGCCACACUGGGACUGAGACACGGCCCAGCCUCCUACGGGAGGCAGCAGUGGGGAAUAUUGGACAAUGGGGGGAACCCUGAUCCAGCCAUGCCGCGUGUGUGAAGAAGGCCUUAUGGUUGUAAAGCACUUUAAGCGAGGAGGAGGCUACUUUAGUUAAUACCUAGAGAUAGUGGACGUUACUCGCAGAAUAAGCACCGGCUAACUCUGUGCCAGCCGCCGCGGUAA